AUACGUAGGUGACAAGCGUUAUCCGGAUUUACUGGGCGUAAAGGGCGUGUAGGCGGUCUUGCAAGUCAGAAGUGAAAUUCCUGAGCUCAACUCGGGCGCUGCUUCUGAAACUGCAGGACUUGAGUGCUGGAGGGGAUAGCGGAAUUCCUAGUGGAGCGGUAAAAUGCGCAGAUAUUAGGAAGAACACCGGUGGCGAAGGCGGAUAUCUGGACAGUAACUGACGCUGAGGCGCGAAAGCGUGGGGAGCGAACAGGAUUAGAUACCCUGGUAGUCCACGCGGUAAACGAUGAAUGCUAGGUGUUGCGGGUAUCGACCCCUGCAGUGCCGGAGGAAACACAAUAAGCAUUCCGCCUGGGGAGUACGGCCGCAAGGUUGAAACUCAAAUGAAUUGACGGGG
rnacentral:rRNA from 1 species